rnacentral:rRNA from 1 species
UACGGGGGGGGCAAGCGUUGUUCGGAAUUACUGGGCGUAAAGGGCUCGUAGGCGGCCAACUAAGUCGGAUGUGAAAUCCCCAGGCUCAACUUGGGAACUGCAUCCGAUACUGGAUGGCUUGAAUUCGGGAGAGGGAUGCAGAAUUCCAGGUGUAGCGGUGAAAUGCGUAGAUAUCUGGAGGAACACCGGUGGCGAAGGCGGCAUCCUGGACCAACACUGACGCUGAGGAGCGAAAGCCAGGGGAGCAAACGGG